GAUGUCAUUAUUCAUUAACAAGGCAAUAAUUACCCUGCGCUUGAAAAUACCAACUCCCUUCACCCAUUCUUCUUCUUUUCCCUAUUCAUUUUUCUGUUAGAGAUUUUAUUGUUGUUUCGUGAAACUUUUCUUAAGUUCUUGCCUUUUCAGUCUAUAAUUUCUAAAUUUUCUUUAGUUUUGUCUUCAUGUAUGCAUAUUGUUUAUGCAAUCUCAGGGUCAUGACCUUCAACCUAGUUAAUACUCCGCCAUCACAAGAUUUGACACUACCGAGAGAUGGUUUCUGAUGGCUCCUACCGAAGAGGUGAGGAAGUAGAUAUGAUGGGGUUGGUGAGAAAGGAAAAAACCAUCACCCACAAAUCUUCCUUUGGGAUCAAUAGCACUGACUGUGAUCCUAGUCUAGAGAAAACCGUGUGCGACAUUAUUCCCAAGGAGUUGAACCUCUCAACUGACUGAUCUCAAGGCAAGAUCGCGAAGCAUCUCAGUGACAGAAAUGCCCUGGUGGAUGAAUACACUUCUUUAAUACAGUUGGACCACCUUCCUUCCGUUCGGGUGGAGUGUGGAUGGGAUGAAAAUGUACAGGUUCAUUGUGUCCGAUAGGGCAGCUGAAUUAUCAACCAUGGCGAUUAUUUUUUAUUUGUGUACAAAUAUUCCUCCACCAUUAGGUUUGGGCUUUCAAUUAAUGAAUUCUCCGAGGAGAUGUGUAGAAGAUAUAAUAUUUGCUUGGAUCAAGUGGGGCCUCAAGUAUGGAGACUCAUUACAGGCUUCCUCUAGUCUUCCUUCCUCGACCGAUGAGAACUUUACUUUUUGGCAUUUUCUGCAUCUCUAAUCUCCCAAGCUUUUUUGGGGCGGCAUGUUCACAAUGAAUCCACGAGGCAAGUGGGCCAUCAUCUCCAACACCAAUGAUGAUUAUGAUCGGGGAUGGUUGUUUACUAUGCUUACCUCAUGAUUCAUCUAAUCUGCAAUCACCAUAGUGACUUUUAACACUAUGUAGGGAUGGGUCGGCAAGAUCUUAAGUGUCUCCACCAAAGCUUCAAGAUCUUGGAAGGCCAUUUCUACUGAAAGAGAGUGGAAGGCCAAUAAUUAUGGUAGCAUCUUGUUUUAUCAAUUUGAAUUGGUUACAACACUAUUAUGGAACUAUACAACUCAGUUUUUCACAUCUUUGGAGGUUCGACUGGGAAGAAGUAGCAGUCUCAAUCCUGACUUUAAGUUUAGCCCUUGUUUUCUGAUCUUGGAGGGGCUUAAUAGGCACUUUUUGGAUUUACUUACUAGGAAGAAAUAAAAUUUUGAUAUGUCUAGUGUCGUCCCGGAAGGGGGGAGCCAACAAUCGGUGAGACAACCUCUUGUUGGUUCUUUUUAAGAAGAUAAAUAAUGACAUUAGCAAGAGGGGGAGCAACCCGGGAAAGUUAAAGGUUUGCAUGAAGCACCUAUGGUUAUUUAUCGGGAAUGAUAUCGUCUAGAGUUUAGGGAUGCCAACAGAGAUCAGGAGCAGGUGUUGCAAGCCAGUCUCUCAACUAACGUCGGGCAAGUUGAUCUCCAUGGAUGGACUUAAAAGGGUGCAGGGGUAGAUGGCUAAGGUUAUGGAGCUUACCGAGGCAAAUCAAAAGUUGAAGUCCGAUCUUGAAGGAUUUAAGGUUGAGAAGGAGGCCUUAGUGCAAAGGGAAGAUGCCAAUGCUAAGAGUUCAGAGCAGUUGCAGAAAGAGCAGAAAGAGCUGGAAGACUGGGAGCCAUCCUUCUCCAUGGAACUGUCUCUCAUGCCACGACCUUGGGGAGCGAGACCGGCGCUCAACCGAAAUACCUCGGUCGAACAAGCCUGUACAAUACCACCUACCCAAUUCUCCCAUGAAUAAAGAGAAGAUACAUUUUAUUAAUUA